rnacentral:rRNA from 1 species
UACGAAGGGGGCUAGCGUUGCUCGGAAUCACUGGGCGUAAAGGGCGCGUAGGCGGCAUGGCAAGUGGAAGGUGAAAUCCCUCGGCUUAACCGAGGAACUGCCCUCCAAACUGCUUUGCUUGAGGCCGGGAGAGGUGAGUGGAAUUCCCAGUGUAGCGGUGAAAUGCGUAGAGAUCAGGAGGAACACCCGUGGCGAAGGCGGCCCUCUGGCUCGACCCUGACGCUGAGGCGCGAAAGCGUGGGGAGCGAACGGG